rnacentral:lncRNA from 1 species
GUGGCGAUACUAAGUGAAAUGCAGGGUUCCGAGAGAGCAUCAGACAAGUUGCUGAUGUUGUACUAUCCGUUUCUAGGAUUUGCUGUUUUAUCAAUUUUACGUGGUCUACUGCCUCAUUCUGGCAAGACAAUUAGCAUUGGAAAACGAUCCGCUAUAGGAAGGAAGAAGAGGGCUUAAUCAUUCAACUCACAAAAGCUAGAAUUGAAGAGUUUGUAUUUCUUUUGGGCAGUGAUACCUAGAAACCAUAUCAAUUUUGUUCUUGGUUUGUUUUUGUUUGCCCUGCUGACAUUAUUUCUCGAUGGCUUGUGCAUGAGUUUUCACGUAAACGAUUACAAUGAAUUGUAGUUUCACAAGUGCUGGUACUGUUAGUUUUAAAUCUUGAUAUGAUUUCCUUCUUGUUCUCAAUUGUAGUUUGCAACGGUCUGCUGCUGCAUCUUUGAUGAUUAAUUCAUUAAGAUAGAAAAGCAGACAAUUUUUGUAAUUCUCUAGUUAGAAAGUUUAGCAAAGUAGUACUAUAUACCAGAUAUAGGGACUCCAUUUGAGUUGUCUAGGGGCCUAGUACAAUGUAUUGCAAGGUAUUUCGAUUGGAUAAACUGUUUUUUCAACAGACAGUUGAUUUGCAUGCUUCAGUAGUUGACACAAACAUAUAUAUAUAUAUAUAUAUAUAUUUGACAGCAUUAGUUGGCAGAAAAUUCGAACUGAUGGAGAGCAUCUUUUCCAAAAUAUUUAUUAAGGAUAACUGGAUAAGUAAAAACACUAAUGUUUUCCAGCAAUGAAUAGUUUCAAAGGAUGUUCCUAUCUAAAAGCAUCAUUUAUUUGGAAACAGAUAAACAGAUGGAAGUAUUAUUUUAAGUAAAAAUAAAAUAACUAAUACAUAUACAUAAAUAAAUUCUACUUAAAUAAUCCAUGUAUUAACUAAUCCUAUAUUAACAUACGGGUGAAAAUCAUUUUCUCCCGUAACUUUACUUUAAAAAUCAAACUCCCCCUCAACUUUAAACAAUAAAGCAUUCUCCCCCUUUUUCCUAUUUGCCUUUUUUAAAUACCUAUUUUAUUCUUACACUAUUAAUCUUUAUUUUUCUUUACCUCUUUAAAAUUAUUAUAUUUUUUAUUUUUAAUAUAUAUAAUGAAUUUUUGUAAAUAAAAAGAAAAUUAUUUUCUAGACAAAAAAAAGUGAGAGACAUAUAUUAAGUAUAUAAGUUAGUAACGUUCUAAAUGAAAUAAAUGACCACGAUAUGAAAAUUUAUUUAUUAAUAAUAAUUAAAACUGUAAUAUCUAUUUAUACUAGUGAAAAUAACAAAUUAAAAUAAUUUUAUAAACAUAUUUCAAUGCAUGUAAUAUAGUAACAUAUAACAAAAAUGAAGAUAUAUUUUAUACUAAAUUAAUUCAAAAGUUUACUUAUAUUAUAAAUAUAUACUCCCUUUAUUCACUUUUACUAAUCACUAUUUUGCUUUUGAGGUCAACCUGCGUGAAUUUUGACCAACAUUUUUAAGAUGUAUAAUUUAAUAUUUAAAUGUAAAAUUUAGAUGAUUAGAAAAUAUAUAAAAAUGCUAUAAGUUGCAAUCCUUUUUCAUAUUAAUAAAAUAAAAAAAAUAUAUCUUAUAAUAUUUGUCAAAAUUUAUGUAGGUUGGUCUGAAAAAGCGAAAAGUGACAAGUAAAAAAGAACAGAGAAGGUAUAUCGAAAUAUAUAUAUAUAUAUAUAUAUAUAUAUAUUACACACACGCACACAUUUAAUGCAUGUAAAAUAAGAGAUAAGUACAAGGUAUCCUUAAACUAUAUUGAAGUUGCUAUGACACACUUAAACUUUAAGGGGGAGGGGGACUAUUACCAUCUAAACUCAUUUUUGUUGAUCUAGCUGUCAAGUAUCAGAAUAUUUUUAUACUUCUUUUGAGGGAGACGAAAAAUAUUUAUGCGUUAUCUUAAUAAAAUAACAAUCAUAAAAAAUAACAUUACCUUUUAUGACAAGUUCAUUAAAAAAGUUAAACUAAAAAAUUUAAAUAAAAAUAUAUAAAUAUUUGACUAAAAUAAAUAAUGUAUACUAUAAGAAAGAUAUUGCUAAUGUCAAGGAUAAAAUAGAUAUUGUCAAAAUAAAAAGGGGGGAAAUGCUUAUUAUUGAAAGUAGAGGAGAAAUUUGAUUUUUAAAUUAAACUUGAAAAGGAAAAAUGAUUUUCACCCAUUAAUAUAUUGUCCACGUAACUAUCACUAGGGGUGUUCAUAGGUCGGUUAUUGGUUAAAAUCAUAAUCAAAUCAACUUAGUUGGUUUUAAAAUUUCUAAAACAAAACCAAACCAAAUAAAAAAAUAACCAUCGGUUUGGUUCUUGUCGGUUUAGUUCGGUUUGGUUCAAUUUAUAACUUUAACUAAUGAUAAAGAUUGAAAAUUUAAAAAAACAAAUCCAAUCUAACAUAUGAGGUAUCAACCGAGUGUUGUAUCUCAACCUUGAAACUACGAUGUCAACUGAGUGUUAUACUUCGACAAAGCCAUGACAACACCAUAUGAAUACUUCUAAGAAAAUAUUUAAAAAGAAAUAUUUAACAGAACGAUGUGAUAAAACCUCCAAAAGAUAAACCCAUAAACUUCUUACUUAACAAAGUUCAAAAAGAAAGUUAAAAUUAGUAAUUGUCUAUAGUCUAAUAAAUCUCAAUUAUAAAUUUCAAUAUACAAUAAGAUAUUAUUUUCACACUUAGUAUCCUUUGUCAUUCAAAAUGCCAAAUUCAUUUAGACUCUUAUAAGGUACUGUCAACUGAAUGAAGCAUAUAACUGAAUGCGUUACGACUAAAGUUAAAUCAUGAUUAAAAUAUAAAAUAUAAUAAAUAUUUAGAUUGUAUUUAUGAAUAAUAUAUAAAUAAUUAUAAUAUAUAUAUAUAUAUAUAUAUAUAUAUCGAUUUAUACUUUAUGAAUAAUAUAUAAAAAUAUAUAAUAUAUAUAUAUAUAUAUAUAUAUCGAUUCGAUUUGAUUAUUUUGUUGAUUAUUUUAAAGUAAAAUCAAAUCAAAUUAAAUUAGUAUUAAUUUUUUAAAAUUUAACAUUAAAUCAAAUCAAACUAAAUCUAACCAAAUAUCCAUCUUUUUAAUCAAUGUCAAUUUGAUUUGAACAGCGGUUAGGUUUGGUUUUUAACCAAACCCUGAACACCUCUAACUAUUACUACAAGACUUGAGCUACACUUGAAGUUGAAACAAUUGAAAAAGAACAGAGAAAUAUUUCUGGAUCUCUUCAUUAAGAUCUCCAUUUCAUAGAAGUAAACUAGUAGCAACAUUUUCAAACCAAAUCAUUAUUUCCAAAAUCAAUGGGUGCUUUUACUAAGCUAUUAGACUUACUUCUUUUCAUCUAUUUAUUCUUCAUUGCCAUUGUUGCACCACUCAUUGAUGGCCAAACCGUUCUUCCUAGUCACAUAUUUCCUUCUGUUUUGGUUGACUUAAAGAACUGGUACACUCAAAAAUAUGGUCACUAUUUAGUUUCUGAGAAACCCCAUUUCUUUGUUGGGUUAGUAUGGUUGGAGCUUCUCUUUGCAUGGCCUCUCUGUGUCCUUAGUCUUUAUGCUAUUGCAGCUGGAAAAUCUUGGAUUAAUACUACCUGCUUGCUUUAUGGUGUUUCCAUUCUCACUUCUCUGGUAAUAAAUUUGUCUUAUUUUUGCUGGGUUUUUUGGGGGGAUAGUGGGUGGGUUUGGUGGGGGGAAUCCAUAUUAUUGAAGUUGGGAUUGGGGGUUUCAAUUGAAGAUUAUAGAUUGUUUUUGUGCUAGCUUCAAAUUAUCUUGUUUUAGUGGUUGAUGUUUUUAUAAAUUAGUGGAACUGGAUUUAAUUAGAUUGAAUUUAAAAACAUUAUGAGAUGUAAUAGAUGCAUUCUUGGUGAUAGAAAUUUUAUCUCUAUGUAAGUAGACUAUAGUCUUUACCCCAAGAUGAAAGAUUGUAACUUUUGGACCCUUAUACAACAUGCCAUUGUAAUUCCAAUAGUGGGGAAUGGGGAAGAUAGACUAUACGUACGCCUUACCUCUACCUUGUAGAUAUAGAAAGGGAAUUUUCGAAAAACCCUUUAGAAUGCCUUUUAGAUAUUAAAACCUGCCUAACAGUUUGACAAAGGGAAUAAAGAUAUUUGAGCAAUCACAACAACAAAUUAAUGUGAAAUGGAAAAUGUUACACAACAAACAGGAGAAAGAAAAGUAAAGUAGCGAAAACAAUAAAAUGCAAUAUUCGGCACACAAAAGCAUCGGUGGAAGCCGAGGUAGAGGAAUUAAUGUGAUGGAUGCGUGUUGUAGCGGGAGUUAGGAGAGGUAGAGGUUGGCUGUAGAGGGAGUUAGGAGGGAUAUGUUGGGGAACAAUGAAAAAAUAAUAAUAACAAUAAUAUUUAACUGUUAACAAAAUAUUAUAUUAAUAUUAGCAAUACAAUAACAUAACAGUAUAUAAUAUUAUUACUACCUCAGUGAUAAUACUAUAAUCAAUAUGACAACUGUAACAGUAAUCUAACUACCUUUUUAAUAAGUUAAUAGAUUAAUUAUACUUGAAUCGUGAUAGGCAUUGUCUUAAAAAACUAUUUCAGCAAUGUGAAAUAUUUCCUCAGGAUUAAACAAACAUUUUCCUGUUUAAUUAGAGGAUAUUUAAAAUUAAAUAAAUCUUCUAUAAUUAAACAAAGGAUACAAGAAUCAACAAAAUUAAUAAUACAAAUAUCAAUAAAUUAAAAUAUUAAAGCAGAAAUAAUAAUAAAGUGAUAUUAAAUAUGAACCAAGAAAAGGAAAAGGAGGAAAAGAAGUUAUAUAUGGUUGGCAGUACAUAUUCUUAUCUUUUUUAUUUGCAAAAGGAAGAAAUUCUUUUAUAACAUUGUAGAGGCGGCAAAGUUGAGGCGGCAGACCAUUUCAUUUUUUUUUUCUUCUUUUCCUUUCUCUGCAAGUAAACAAAAGAUUUUAAUUUCUUUUCCUUUUUUUCGAGUAAAACAAAAUAAUACACCAAAUUUUUUUGAAAUAAAUUAUUUCACUUACAAUCUCCACAUUAUUUUAAAGGAAUUUAUAGAAAAAUAUUUUAACUUGUUGAAUUUGUAUGGAUAAAAUGCAGUAGGUUUGGUGUCUUCUGGACUAUGAACCAAACUUAGACCAAUAAAAUUUAACUUACAGAAUUAUCGGUGACAUAUAAUAUUUCUAUGAACCGAAUAAUUUUUGUUGUAAGCCAGAGAUUUUAUCAAUCACAUUUUGAUCGUAACUUUGUUGUUCAACGCGGUUUUGCGGCAAUAGGUCAUGCGCGUGCCUGGUAUUCAUGAGAGCUCUAGAGACUAAGGUCAAAAGUUUCAUAGGAACGGCCUCAUUCCACUUCUCAUAUAGGUGAAUUCAUCAAGUGUACACUGCUUUAAAUACACCAUCCAUAAGGAUUAUGAAUUCAUUAAGUGUUAAUAACUCAUCCCUCCAUUUUAAUAGCAGUUCAAGCACUCUCUCAAAAAGUGCGCAGAGUCAAUAUCGACUUUUUAUUACCCAUAUGAACCUACUUCAUGGGAUCUCCAAUCACAUAGGUUGGGUUACCAUCUCUAUUGACAAUCAAAUUGUCCUUAACCCCAUCCCUUUUGAUGUUUGAAGAAUUAAUUUUUUUCCCACGGAUUUAUUCAGUGAAUCGGCCGAAUUCAGUUCUGACUUCACAUAAUUAAUGGAAAUUAUUUCAUCUUUCAGCAAUUGCUUAAUAACAUCAUGCCUCAAUUUCAUAUGUCUGCUCUUACAACUAUAAGAUUUAUUCUUCGCAAUAGUAAUUGCGGCUUGACAAUCACAGUGUAUAUACACAGGAGGCAUCAGAUCAUCCUUGUUUAAAGGGAUAUUAGACAACAGGUCAUCCUUUUCUAAAGGGCUAUAAGGCAACAGACCAUCCUUUUUCAAAGGGCUAUGAGGCAACAGAUAAUCCUUUUUAAAAGGGAUAUUCGCUAAGAAAUUUCUUAGCCAUUCAGCCUCAGUACCAGCUAACUUCAGAGCCACAAACUCUGAUUCUAUAGUUGAUCUAGCAAUGAUCGUCUACUUAGCUGAUCUCUAUGAUACUGCACCUCCACCAAGCGUGAAUACAUAACCACUAGUGGAUUUUGUCUCGUCUGAAUCUGAGAUCCAAUUUGCAUCACAAUAACCUUCUAAAGUUGAAGGAAAUCCAUUAUACAAGAUACCAUAAUUCACGGUUCCUUUCAAAUAUUUCAUCAAUCGCAUUAAUGCAGACCAAUGCUCAUUAUAGGGAUUAUAAGUAUAUCUACUCAAUCUACACACAGCAUAGGCUAUAUCAGGCCUAGUAAAGUUCAUUAAAUGCAUUAGACUCCCAAUAAUCUGUGCAUACUUAGACUGAGCAACUGGGUCACCAUUAUUCUUUUUUAAUUUAGAAUUAGCAUUAUAAGGAGUGGCUACUAGAGUUACCUCCAAUAUUCAAAUUUCUUAAGAAGUCUUUCCACAUAAAGUUCAUGUGACAACAUUAUACCAUCUUCACUCCUUAUAACUUUAAUUCCCAAAAUCAUAUUCACUUCACCCAAAUCUUUCAUAUCAAAGUUAGUAGACAAAAAUAAUUUGGUACGCUCCACAAUAUUUAAACAUGCACCAAAUAUAAGCAUGUCAUCAACAUAUAAGCAGAUUAUCACAUAAUCAUUAUCUACCACCUUUGUAUAAACACAUUUAUCCACCUCAACAGAAGAAAAGUCGUCUUUUAUUAAGACUUGAUCAAAUUUCUCAUGCCACUGUUUUGGAGCUUGUUUAAGGCCAUAAAGAGAUUAAUUAAUUUACAAACUUUAUUUUCUUGUCCAGAAAUUACAUAUCCUUCAGGUUGAAUCAUAUAAAUUUCUUCUUCUAAAUCUCCAUUUAUGAAAGUUGUUUUCACAUCCAUUUGAUGGAUAAAAAGCUUAUGAAUUGGUGCCAAAACGAUUAAUACUCGAAUAGAAGCAAUUCUUGUUACUAAUGCAAAUAUAUCAAAGUAAUCAAUAUUUUGCUUUUGAGAAAAUCCUUUAGCUACUAACUGAGCUUUAUAUUUAUCUAAAGAUCCAUCCGAAUUAAGUUUCCUUUUGAAAAUCCAUUUACAACCAAUCGAUUUUGCAUCAGGAGGUAAAUCAGUUAAAAUCCAUGUAUUAUUUUUCAUAAUUGAAUCAAGUUCAAUUUUUAUUGCCUCUUUCUAAAAUUUAGCAUCAGAAGAAGAUAUAGCUUCAAAAUAAUUUGAUGGUUCAUUAUCAAUAAGAAAAGUUUGAAAAUCAUUUCCAUAAGGAAAAUAUUCUUUUCUAGGCCUUGCACUCCUUCUCAGUUCCUCAAUAUUAGAAGUAGAUUCAUUUUCUUUUUCAACAGGUGCAUGAGAGAUUUUAUCACAUAGUGGAAAAAUAUGUUUAAAGAAUUCAACAUUCUUUGUCUCAAUUAUAGUAUUACUAUCAAGUACAUCACAUUUCAAUACAAGAAAUCUGUAUGCAGCACUGUGUUCAGCAUAUCCAAUAAGCAUGCAAUUAGCAGUUUUAGAAUCUAUUUUCCUCUUUUUAGGUUCAGGAAGAACUUUAGCAAGCCAACCCCACACUUUUAAAUAUUUCAAAUUAGGCUUAUAACCUUUCCACAAUUUAUAAGGGGUUUUGCCAGUUCUUUUAUGAGGAAUUCUAUUCUGUAAAUGACAUGCAGAUAAAAUAGCUUCACCCUACAAAUUAUCAGGUGCACAAGAGCUAAUUAACAUAGAAUUCAUCAUUUGUUUCAGUGUUCUAUUUUUCCUUUCAAUCCAUUUGACAUGCCACCGAUUAAGCUUGUCUUAUGCCCGUAGAUGCUUCAAGGAUUCGUGAUCCGAACGGAUCACGAAUUCUUUAGGCCACCAAUAAUGUUGCUAAGUGGCCAAGGCUCUAAUCAAGACAUACAACUCUAAAUCGUACGUAAAGUAGUUUAGAGUUGCUCCUUUGAGCUUUUCUCUAAAGUAGCCAAUAGGCUUCAAUUCUUGCAUUAAAACCGCGCCUAUGCCGACUUUGCUAGCAUCACAUUCGACCUCAAAAGUCUUGUCAAAAUUCGGCAAUUGUAGCAAAGGGGCUGAGAUGAGCAUAGCUUUCAAGUCCUCGAAGGCGUUAGCUUGUUCAUCUCCCCGCUUGAAAGACCGAUCUUUUUGAAUCACUUCGGUCAAGAGGGCGGCAAUGGUGCUAAAUCCUUUGACAAAAUGUCUAUAAUAACUAACCAACCCGUGAAAGCUUCUCACUUCACCUAUGGUUUUAGGAGUUGGCCAAUUUUUAAUGGUAUCAAUCUUAGAUUCAUCCACUUCGACCCCUCUUGAUCUCACCACAAAUCCAAGAAAUACAAUCUCAUGGACACCAAAAGAACACUUUUCUAUAUUAGCAUAUAACUUCUCCUUUCGGAGGACAUCAAACACACAUUGUAAAUGCUUUGCAUGCUCAUCUAAGGACUUACUAUAUACCAACACAUCAUCAAAGUAAACAAUAACAAACUUUCCGAUAAAUGACUUCAUCACAUGAUUCAUUAGCCUCAUGAAAGUACUUGGAGCAUUUGUUAGGCUGAAUGGCAUAACCAUCCAUUCAUAGAGACCGAAUGUGGUCUUGAAGGCGGUUUUCCAUUAAUCACCCAGUUGCAUACGAAUUUGGUGAUAGCCACUCCUCAAAUCAAUUUUAGAAAACAAACACGAACCACUCAAUUCAUCAAGCAUAUCAUCUAACCUAGGAAUGGGGUGACGAUAUUUUACCGUUAUCUUGUUGAUGGCUCGACAAUCAACGCAUAUAUGCCAAGUCCCAUCUUUCUUAGGAAUUAGUAGCCCCGGGACCGCACAAGGGCUCAUACUCUCUUUGAUAUACCCUUUGUUGAGGAGUUCCUCAACUUGGCGUUGUAAUUCCUUGGUAUUCAUCGGGUUGCUCCUAUAAGCCGGUUUGUUGGGCAAUUGUGAACCCGACACAAAAUCUAUUUGGUGUUCAAUUCCCUGAAGUGGGGGCAAUCAUUGCAGUAAUUCCUUUGGGAAAACAUCUUCACAAUCCUGCAAAACAUGAGAAAUAUGAGGAGAAAUGGAAAUGUUAGUGGCAUUAGUAUUAAAACAAUGAGCCAAAAUGAGCAUCGGAGUGUCCUCGUCAUGAUCCACAAAUAAUUCUUUCCUCCUAGCCAUCAUCGCCACACUUCCUUGCCCCUUAGAAAUUAGGAGCCCCUCGAUUUCCCCUACUCCCUCACUCCCGGGUUCCCCUCUUUUCUCCUCACUCUCGGACUUCUUUCCCCUUUUCCGCAAUUCUCGCAUCUUUUAGUGUAAUUCAUUCACUUGGGAAGGCAAUAAUGGAUGAAGAGCGACCUUGCGAUCAUCCUUCUCAAGUUUAUACCGAUUGGACCUUCCAUCAUGUUUGGUUUACCUAUCGUAUUGCCAAGGCCUUCCUAACAACAAGUGACAAGCUUGCAUUGGUAUCAUGUCACAAAGCACCUCGUCAUGGUAGUUGGCUACCUUAAAACGUAUCACACAUUGCCUUGUGACCUUUAACGCGCCGCAUUCAUUCAACCAUUGCAGCUUGUAAAGACUAGUGUGAGGUGUAGUCGACAAUUUCAAGAAGUUCACCAUUGCAACACUAACCACAUUCGCACAACUUCCACUAUCUAUUACCAUAGUGCACACACUUCCCUUCACAAGACAUUUAGGAGUCGUUUGGUAGGAGGGACUAUUGCUCUAAUUCAUGUAUUAAAAUGUGGGAUAAAUUAAUACAAUGUUUGGUAGAAAAUAAGGAACAAUGUAUAAUUAAUACAUGGAUUAGUUAUACACCCAACAUGGUAUUAUAGGGUGUAUAACUAAUACACCCCAUUUGGUUGGAUUAGUAAUCCAUGGAUUACAAUCCAUGGAUAAAUAUUAAUAAAGACAAAAAUGCCCUUAAAUUCUUUUAAUUUUUUUUUUUACUUUAUUCAAUAUGAGUUAUUUCUUUUCAAUUUUCAAGAUGAUAAUAUUCCUCUAAAUAAUUUUAAUCAUUAAAAAGACUACUCCAUUAACUUAGAAAAUACUUAUUUGUCAAAGCCCGAAACAAAUUGCAUGGUUGCAUAUAGCUUUAAUUUUGUAAAUAGAUGUAUCACAAAUAAAAAAAAAUUGCUUAGAUUUAACACUUUACGGAACACAAUUCUAUGUUAACAACGAUACAAUUGUCUCAUUCAAAAAUUACACUUAUCCCCUCCAACUUAAGAACACCACAAAGUGCAAACAACAAAAAAAAUAAAGAAAAAAUAACAAUUUCUUUUUUUACAAGUGAAUGAUUAAAUCUUAAAAUUCCAAAAUAAGUUAUUACUAUAGUUACAUUGCUGAUUUUUUUUUAAAAAAAGAAUAAUAAAGCUUUGCAAAGUAAAUAUACAAAGUUAUUGUAUGUCAAGGUUUUUUGGUAAAUAAAUAAUAUUCUUUUUAAAAUAUAACAAUACAUAUUGUUUUCAAUACAUCAAACCAAACACUGCAUGAAAAAUAAUCCCAGCAUUACUAAUUCCAGUAUUACUAAUCCCAUCACUACUAAUCUCAGCAUUACUAAUACACCCUAUUCAGUAUUAUCUUAUACACUCUACCAAAUGACCCCUUAGUGUGGAAUAGAUUCUCCCGUUGGCUAGGACCAUCUAUUGCCUUACUAAUCAUGGCACGCCUCACUACAAAGUUUGGAACCACACACUCCCCUUCUUGCGGAUAAGCAUCCUCACAAUCAUCAUCAUCAUGUGGAUCAUUUUCGGGUUCCUCUCCAUCUUGAGACUCGGCCUCAUUCUCUUCUUUUUCAAGACCCACUUCCUCACCAAGGUAAUUCAAUCUCCCUUUCCUUAGGAUCACAUUACGCCGGUUUGGACAUUCAUUGGCUUUAUGUCCCCAACCUUGGCACUUGAAACAUUGGAACCCUUUAGGAUUAGGAUACUUGUGAGCUUCUUACCGGGAAGGAAAUUUGUGGACUAUUUUAGUCUCGGGCAGCCUUGUAGUGGCGGGUUGGUCCUUGUUUUUGGGCCAACCCGAAGAUGGUCGAACCAUAUCUUUUCUCCUUGGCCAACCCGAGGUUGAUGGUCCCUUUGCCUUGAAUGAGGACCUCUCUUUAAGCUCCCUUUCAAUCUCAAGAGCCGCUUGGAAAAUCUCUUUAAUGGCAUCAAACUUGUGAAGCGUCAAAUGGGUGGAGAUCUCUUUGUUCAACCCACACUUGAACCGAAUAAUGUCAUGGCCAAUUUGUUCUCUCCGAUGAUCAAGCUUCAACAUGAGUUGUUGAAACUCGUCAUAGUAUGCCAUCACUUCGAUUUCUUUGUCGCAAAUUGUACAACCUAGCAAGCAACUCAUGACGAUAACUUUUAGGAAGAUACCGUUGCCUCAUUAGGUACCUCAACCGAAACCAUAGUGGUGGUUGUCCCUCUACCAACUCGUUGCCGAACCACUUGACGUAUUCCCACCAAGUGUUAGCAUAUCCUUCAAAAUGAGCUAUGGCAUAACAACUUUUCUUCUCCUCCGAGAUAUCAUUCACUUGAAACAUUUUAUCACACGCCGACUCCCAAGCAAGUUACACCUCGAGGUCACUUUCACCCUUAAAGAUAGGUAGGCUCAAUUUAAUGGUAUUGAUGCCUACGUCUCUCUCUAGGUGUCGGUUUCCCCUUCCUCCAUACCCUCGGUAUCUCCUUGGAUCCACACGACCCCUUCUCAUCUCUUCCUCCCUCAUGUAGGCAUCGUCAAAGGCUCCAUACCCUUCAUAAUCCUCUCUACCAUAUUCCUCAAGGUGGACGGGACGGUUUUGGACAUUUGGAACUUGAUUAGGAGGAAUUGAAUUUUGUGGAGGUGGUGGUCUUUGGUUUAGUGGAGCUUGGAAGGGGGGAUUCGGAUUUUGUGGAGGCAUUUGACUUUCGAGUACCUCUUGCGGAACUUGAGGCAUUUGGGAAUGAGUUUGUUCUAUUGGAGUCUCGGUUUAGAGGGUUAUAAGUGGUUUGGCUUGCGACAUUUAGUGGAGGUAGUGAAGGAUUUGGCAAUUGUAGCCAUAUUUUGGGAGUAAAGGUGGCGGAGGAAUUUCUAUCAUGUCCACUUGACGAAACAUNNNNNNNNNNNNNNNNNNNNNNNNNNNNNNNNACUUGUUCUAACCUCCCACUAAUAGUCAUCACUUCUCCCCUUAUGGCUCCCACUUCCGUACUCAACCUUUCAAGAGCUCGGGUCAUAGCCUCAAGAGUGACCCUUAUAUUCUCCAUUUCAUUAGAAUCCACGGUUUAAGACAUGUUUCCCUCCAUUAUUAAGGUAUCACCUACACAAGCAACAAACAAGUUAGUUUAAAAUCCGUCUCCUCACUCACACUCUCUUGGUUCACUCACACUCAAGUUCCACAAGUGUUGUAGAUUGGCUAGGAACCUGAGAAUCCGUAAGGUAUGAGUAUGCUUUUGCCCGGAAUGGAUUCUUGUUUGAAACUCAAAUAAUUCUCGUCGGACUAGAGCCAAGAGUUAAAACGUAUUCAAACGACAAAAACACACAAACAAACAACGUUAACACGAAAAACGUACACAAAACUAACUUACAAGCUAGUAGGGUAUUACUAGGUUGUCAAUUAGUGUCAAAACUAGGAAACAAUAAACUAAAACUAAGAAAUUUAAAAUUUGAACUCAAAAAUAUUGCGUGAACAGUACUUUAGUGACAUGACAGUCCACUAUUGGCCUCGAGUUUUAUCAAAAUUUUAUUUUCCAAUUUCAAGUCUUGAUCAAUAUACAAUUUGGAAUUGGUGGAUUUGGUUAAUGGAAGGAAAAGUGGUCUUGGAGCCUUUUUGUUCAAAUUUCAAAAGCAAAAAUUGACUUCUUUGAACUUUCUCCUUGAAACAAGGUCCUUAAAUCAAGGAAAAGUAGAUGAAAAGUCUUUGAAGUGAUAGGGACAAGUCUUUCACUAACAACUACUACAAGCUUGUCUUUCACCUCUUUAGAUCUAGUUUGCACUUUUAAGGAUUAACAAGAUGAUGAAAGGGUGAAUAACCUUAAGAACACAACAACAACUCCAAGAACAACAACAAUUUCAGUUUCCAACUCCACUACAACAAUUCCAUCAAAUCGACCAAGGUUUAGGUAACAACAACAUCCAGCUCGGCCACACCUUGUUCACAUCUACAACUUCAACAAGUUCAAGUUCAAUCUUAGAUUUGGACACUUUUUAGUGUUGAUGAGAAAGAAACCAACACUAGAAACACUCUUAAAAAACAAAAGACUACAAGUUCUAGACACACAACAAACAAAUCUUGGCCAAGAUAACAACAACACAAUUUUCGGCCAAGAACACAAAAUGGACAGGUUUUCACUUUUCUGGAAUUUUUUUUCAGUUUUCAGCAUUUUUUUUUCUUAGCAAGAAAGCCCAAGAUUGGUAUUGUAAGAACAAUACCAAAGAUGGCUUUGAUACCAAAUGAUACAAUAUUAAGUGUGUAUCAAGAGAUUCCAACCAACACAAGAACAACAACAUGAACAACAAAGUGCUAGUGAAUCGAAAAUGGCCACACACGGCUUCACUAGGCUUGCAACACUUGUUUGAGCUAGAAAAGAGAGUUUAACAACAAAGACAAUAUUGCUAGUGAAUUGAAAGAGCCCCACAUGGCUUCACUAGACUUUUAUAUUCUACAACACAAUGUUAACAAGAUUUACAAAGAAAGAGAUAGAAACUUGACACACAAUAUUCAUUAAUCUAAGAACCCUAAUAAGAGAAAGGACCCUAAGACUAAUAAAUAUCAAUACCAAGUUCUUACUUGGACCAAGAGGAACUCAAAGAACCCCAAUAACCUAGUUUUUAGCCAAGAUACAACACUAGUAUCACUCUACUCGUUAGAAUUUGGUUUUGGCCUCUCCAAAUGAGAAAGAGAAGUAAAAAAUUUACAAGCCUUUUAUUUCUUGAAUAAUAGGAAUGAACUAAAGCAAGAUUGACCCUAUUACAUGGCUUAUAUACUCACUUAGAAAGGAGGGACAAAGACCAAAAUACCCUUGGCAUUUAAGUAGGUGGGUUUGGGGUGCCUUAGUGGGCUUCUUCACAUUUUAUUAAAUAUAGGCCCUUAGAUGGGCUCACAAGGGCCUCACACAUGGCCAAGAAUGUGAACAAGGCUUAGAGUCGUUGCAACUCACGUGCUUGGCUUCGUAUGAAAUGUCUCGAGCUAGGAAUUCCUGUACCACCAGAGGUGGACCUGGGUGCAAAGUUAUGGUGCGCCAGCACCCAUUAAACUUGAUGCAGAUUAGGUAUAAUUAUAUAAGAAGUGUAUAAUAAUUGGUAUAGGAUGGAAGAAAGCACCCUGAAAAUCAAGAAGAUAACCGAGUGCGUUGGUGUUUAGGCACGGAACCUUAAAGCUUUAGGUGUUAAUAUGUGUGUUUGAACCUCCCGAGCAGUGGGGGAGCCAGGAUUGACACCAAGGGGGUUCACAAGUGAAUAUACGAACUAACCGAAUGGGGUUCGACAUCUACUAUAUAUACAUAAAAAAUAAUUUUAACCAUGUAUAUAUAGUAUAAUUUUCCAUCGAAGGGGGUUCGGAUGAACCCCUGUUGGGUUCAUACUAUAUGAAAUAAGUGUGAAUGGAAAAAUGGAGAGUAAAAGGGUGGAUGGAAGGAGACACUAAAAUGGAAAGUGUACUCCCAAAUUAUAAAAUUUACUCUUUCUCCCACAUUGGUGGAAGAAGAGAACUUAGAAGUGUUUAUAAUCAAGAACACUUACUCCACAUGAUAAUUGAGGCAAGAAAUAAGAGAUGCCUCGCCCCGUCGUCGUCGCUCGCUCAGCUUGGCUUCGGAUUUGGAUUUGGAUUUGAUCGAUCGAUGAGAUCUAUCUUUUUGGACAAACUUUAUUUGACGAAAUCUGAUCAAUGACAAAAACGUAGGAAAUUUUUUCUGUGUGUUUAAUACUCCAUUUAUAUGCAUGCAGUAAUAGUAACAGAUGCAAUGUUCGAGUUGAACUGAUGCUUCAGAAGGAUGCAAUUCUUUAACGAAAUGACACUGAUUUACGAAAUGGCAUGCCUGUUCAGAACACACACACUGUUUGGACGAAUGGACAUGAAUUUUUAGAAAAGGUUACACCUUUUAAAUGAACUAUUGCCACUUUUCAGAAGAGGCAUCUUGUGGCUAUAUAAACCUACUUUCAUCCACAGGUUUUGGUACAAAAAUUUCAGAAUAAAAACACUCUUCUUGCCUUAAAAAUAUUCUGUGUGAUCACUCAAAAAGUUCAGUGAGUUCGAAGAUAUUCCAGUUGUUUGAGGUACCACUAUAAUUGGUUUGUUUGGCCAUUUUAUCCUCGGAGGAAAAUACCGCAACCUCGGGUACAGUGAGGGGAAUUAUUUCCUUAAGGAAAGUCCGUGAAUUCGGGCGACUUGACCAUUUCUAUUUUCAUCUUUAUUUCUGAAAAUAAAAUACACUUCUAAGAAAGAUCACUUUGAUCUUGCGUUGAGGGUAUUUACUACACUUCAUUGUGUUCUUGUUUUUAAACAUAGAACUAACGUUGAAGUUGUUGUUCUACAUAUAUAGAUUCUGCGUACCUGUAGAAGGAAAUAACAAUCUUAAGGAAAUAACAUAUUAUUGCAGAAUCUAUAUUGCUUGUUUUUGGAGAUUAAAGUUUUAACUUUCUACUCCGCCUGAACCUAACUAGUGAUUUGAAGUCAUAAAAACUUCAUCACAAGUUAAAGAUCAUUCGGUUGACAAUUGGAAGUCAUAAAAACUUCAUUGUCANNNNNNNNNNNNNNNNNNNNNNNNNNNNNNNNNNNNNNNNNNNNNNNNNNNNNNNNNNNNNNNNNNNNNNNNNNNNNNNNNNNNNNNNNNNNNNNNNNNNNNNNNNNNNNNNNNNNNNNNNNNNNNNNNNNNNNNNNNNNNNNNNNNNNNNNNNNNNNNNNNNNNNNNNNNNNNNNNNNNNNNNNNNNNNNNNNNNNNNNNNNNNNNNNNNNAGAAAUUCCUUGUUGCACGGUUCCUGGACUUUAAAAUAAUAGAUAGCAAAUCGGUUGUCUCUCAAGUACAGGAGUUGCAAGUCAUCAUACAUGAUCUCCUAGCAGAAGGUAUAUCUUUGAAAAAUACCUUAGUUGAACAAAUUAAAAAGGUUCUUAAUACUCACGUAAACUGUUUAGUAGAUUUGAUUGUGAAUGAUGCAUUUCAAGUAGCAGCGAUAGUUGAGAAACUACCACCUUUGUGGAAAGACUUCAAAAACUACUUGAAGCAUAAACACAAGGAGAUGACUGUCGAAGAUCUUAUUAUCCGACUGCGUAUUGAAGAGGACAAUAAAGCUGCCGAGAGAAGGUCAAAAGGGAAUUUUACAAUUAAUGGAGCACAUAUUGUAGAAGAUGAUCAAAACAAUUCUAAGAAAAGGAAGAAAGUUGAACAAGGAAGCAAUCAACCCAGAAGAAAUUCAAGGGAAAAUGCUUCAAUUGUGGCAAGAUUGACCACAAGUCCACGGAUUGUCGUGCCCCUAAGAAAGGCAAGAAAAAGGACCAAGCUAAUAUGGUUGAGUUCAACAAAGAAUGUGAUGAUCUGUGUGCUAUGUUCUCAGAAUGCAACUUGGUGGGGAAUCCUCGCGAAUGAUGGAUGGAUUCUGGUGCCACCCAUCAUGUAUGUGCCAACAAAGAGUUGUUUUCAUCAUUUGCUCCGGCUCAAGUAGAAGAAAUGAUCUACAUGGCUAACUCCGCUACUGCUAAGGUGGAAAGACAGGGAAAGUGUGCUUGAAAAUGACUUCGGUCAAGGUCUUGACACUUAACAAUGUCUUGUAUGUUCUAGAAUUACGUAGGAACUUAAUUUCUGUUUCAUUUCUAGACAAGAAUGGAUUCAAAUGUGUAACUGUUUUUGGAAAAAUUGUAAUUAACAAAGGAGAAAUGUAUGUAGGAAAAGGCUAUCUCACGGAGGGCUUUUAUAAGAUGAUUGUAAUGACUGUUGAAAUAAAUAAAAGUUCAAAUUCCUCUUAUUUGCUUGAGUUUUAUUAUUAAUGGCAUGAACGUUUAGGCCAUGUUAAUUAUAAAACGUUACGAAAACUGAUUAACUUAGAAGUUUUGCCAAACUUUAAGUGCAAUAAAUCAUAGUGUCAAACGUGCGUGGAAUCGAAGUAUGCAAAGUAUCCUUAUAAGUCCGUUGAAAGGAAUUCCAAUCCCUUAGACUUAAUACACACUGACAUUUGUGAUAUGAAGUCUAACACCAUCACGUGGUGGGAAAAAGUAUUUCAUAACUUUUAUUAACGAUUGCACUAGAUACUGUUUUGUCUACUUGCUAAAUAUUUAGGCAAUAUAAAACUGAAGUUGAAAUUCAGUUAGACAAAAAGAUCAAAAUGAUAAGAAGUGAUAGGGACGGAGAAUAUGAAUCUCCCUUUGCGCAAAUAUGUGUAAAGAAUGGAAUCGUCUAUCAAACUAUGGCCCCGUAUUCACCUCAAUCUAAUGGAAUUGCGGAAAGGAAAAUCGAAACUUUGAAGGAAAUAAUGAAUGCCUUUCUUAUAAGUUCCGGUUUACCACAAAACUUAUGGGGAAGGCUAUCCUUACAGCCAAUCGUAUACUCAACAGAGUUCCCCAUAGUAAAACACAAUCAAUGCCUUAUGAAAAAUGGAAGGGAAGGAAACCCAACUUGAAAUAUUUCAAAGUGUGGGGGUGUCUAGUAAAGGUCCAAAUUCCUAUGCCUAAAAGGGUUAAGAUAGGACCUAAGACGGUGGACUGCAUGUUCAUAGGAUAUGCUGAAAGUAGUAAAGCAUGUCGAUUUUUGAUUUAUAAAUCCGAACAUCCGGAUAUUAAUGAAAAUACGGUAAUUGAAUCAGACAAUGCUGAAUUCUUUGAAAACAUUUACUCUUAUAAAGUUAGAAAUGAUCAGUCUAGUGGAUGAUCUAAACGACCUCGAGAUGAACCAAGUGAGAAUGUACAUAAUGAAGAAAAUUCAAGACGUAGUAUAUGUCAAAGAACGUCUACUUCAUUUGGAUCAGAUUUUGUAACAUUUUUCUUAGAAAAUGAGCCUCAAACAUUUAAGGAAGUGAUGGCAUCUUUGAAUUCAUCCUUUUGGAAAGAGGCAGUCAAUAGUAAGAUUGAUUCAAUCUUAAGUAACCAUACAUAGAAAUUGGUUGAUCUUCCUCCUGGAAAUAAACCUUUAGGUUCUAAAUAGAUCUUCAAACGGGAGAUGAAAGCGGCUGGUACUAUUGACAAAUACAAGGCAAGACUUGUAGUAAAAGGCUUCAAACAAAAAGAAGGCCUUGAUUACUUCGAUACAUACUCGCAGUAACAAGAAUAACAUCGAUUCGAAUAUUAAUUGCCUUGGCUGCGGUAUAUGGUCUUGAAAUCCAUCAAAUGGAUGUGAAAACUGCUUUCCUGAAUGGAGAAUUAGAGGAAGAAAUUUACAUGGAACAACUUGAGGGGUUUUUUGGUUCCAGGGAAGGAGAAUAAGGUGUGUAGACUUAUUAAGUCAUGUGUAUGGAUUAAAGCAAGCACCUAAACAAUGGCAUGCGAAGUUUGACCAAACCAUGUUGGCAAACGGGUUCAAGAUAAAUGAAUGUGAUAAAUGUGUUUACAUUAAAGACACUNNNNNNNNNNNNNNNNNNNNNNNNNNNNNNNNNNNNNNNNNNNNNNNNNNNNNNNNNNNNNNNNNNNNNNNNNNNNNNNNNNNNNNNNNNNNNNNNNNNNNNNNNNNNNNNNNNNNNNNNNNNNNNNNNNNNNNNNNNNNNNNNNNNNNNNNNNNNNNNNNNNNNNNNNNNNNNNNNNNNNNNNNNNNNNNNNNNNNNNNNNNNNNNNNNNNNNNNNNNNNNNNNNNNNNNNNNNNNNNNNNNNNNNNNNNNNNNNNNNNNNNNNNNNNNNNNNNNNNNNNNNNNNNNNNNNNNNNNNNNNNNNNNNNNNNNNNNNNNNNNNNNNNNNNNNNNNNNNNNNNNNNNNNNNNNNNNNNNNNNNNNNNNNNNNNNNNNNNNNNNNNNNNNNNNNNNNNNNNUCAUUGGAUGGCAAUGAAAAGAGUUUUGGGGUAUCUUAAAUACACUCAAGACUAUGCCUUGCAUUAUAAUAAAUAUCCUGCGGUACUUGAAGGAUAUAGUGAUGCAAAUUGGAUCACCGGAUCGAACGAAGUAAAAUCCACAAGUGGAUAUGUAUUUACUAUCGGUGGAGGAGCAGUCUCUUGGAAAUUAUCUAAACAGACUUAUAUUGCUCGCUCUACAAUGGAAUCUGAAUUUAUCGCAUUGGAUAAAGCUGGUGAAGAAGCAGAAUGCCUCCAGAAUUUCUUAGAAAAUAUUCCUUAUUGGCCUCAGCCAGUGGCACCAGUAUAUAUACACUGUGAUAGCCAAGCGGCAAUAGGUAGGGCAGGGAGCAUGAUGUACAACGGUAAAUCUCGUCACAUACGACGGAGACAUAAUACCGUCAGGAAACUUCUCUCUAGUGGAAUUAUCAUUAAAUAUAAUAUUAGUCUAUUUAAAGUAUUAAAAUACGAAAGAAAAUAUAAAUGAUCAGAAUAGGGUCUGAGUUGUCACACUCCAUCAUAUGUCAAAAAAUAUAAUAUCAAUUAGCUAUUUAAGGUAUCAAAACACGAAAUGAAAUAUAAAUGCUCAAAAUAAAUGUCAAGAGUUGUUACAUUCCAUCUUAUGUUUAAAAAUAUAAUAUCAAGUUAUUUAAAGUAUCAAAACACUAAAUAAAAUAUAGAUGUUCAAAACAGAGUCUAAGUAGUUAUUCUUUGUGCUAUAUUCAAAAAUAUUACUCCAUCAAACUAUUUAAAGUAUCAAAAUAUGAAAUGGAAUACAAAUACGAGGAAUCUUAAUAAUUCAGUUGGUUGAUUAUUUAAACUCCUACUUUAGUAAUGAAGAUUUAAUUCCUCACGUUGUAAUUUCUGUUGGGUUCAUGGUAUAUGAAAGAAGUGUGAAUGGAAAAAUGGAGAGUAAAAAUGGAGGAGGAAAGGAGACACUAAAAUGGAAAGUGUACUCCCAAAUUAGAAAGUUUACUCUUUUUGCCACAUUGGUGGAAGAAGAAAACUUGGAAGUGUUUAUAAUCAAGAACACUUAAUCCACAUGAUAAGUGAGGCAAGAAAUAAGAGAUGCCUCGCGCCGUCGUCGCUCGCUCAGCUUCGGCUUUGGCUUUGGCUUUGGAUUCCCAAAUUAGAAAGUUUACUCUUUCUCCCACAUUGGUGGAAGAAGAGAACUUGAAAGUGUUUAUAAUCAAGAACACUUACUCCACAUAAUAAGUGAGGCAAGAAAUAAGAGAUGCCUCGCGCCGCCGUCGCUCGCUCGGCUCGACUUUGGAUUUGGAUUUGGAUUUGGAUUUGACAAAUGAUCGAUUGAUGAGAUCUAUCUUCUUGGACAAACUUUAUUUGACGAAAUCUGAUCAAUGACAAAAACGCAGAAAAUGAAAAUUUUUUCUGUGUGUUUAAUACUCAUUUAUAUGCAUGCAGUAACAAUAACAGAUGCAAUGUUCGAACUGAACUGAUGCUUCAGAAAAGUUGCACUGUUUCGAACUGAUGCUUCAGAAGGAUGCAAUUCUUCAACGAAAUGACACACUGAUUCACGAAAUGGCAUGCCUGUUCGGAACACACACACUGUUUGGACGAAUGGACAUGAAUUUUCAGCAAAGGUUACACCUUUUGAAUGAACCCUUGCCACUUUUCAGAAGAGGCAUCUUGUGGCUAUAUAAACCUGCUUUCAUCCACAGGUUCCACAGGUUUUCGUACGAAAAUUUCAGAAUAAAAACUCUUCUUGCCUGAAAAAUAUUCUGUGUGAUCACUCAAAAAGUUCAGUGAGUUCGAAGAUAUUCCAGUUGUUUGAGGUACCGCUACAAUUGGUUUGUUUGGCCAUUUUAUCCUGGGAGGAUAAUACUGCAAGCUCGAGUACAGUGAGGGGAAUUAUUUCGGAAUUAUUUUCUUAAGGAAAGUCUGUGAAUUCGGGCGACUUGGCCAUUUCUGUUUUCAUCUUUAUUUCUGAAAAUAAAAUACACUUCUAAGAAAGAUCACUUUGAUCUUGUGUUGAGGGUAUUUACCGCACUUCAUUGUGUUCUUGUUUUUAAACAUAGAACUAACGUUGAAGUUGUUGUUCUACAUAUACAGAUUCUGCGUACCAGUAGAAGGAAAUAACAGCCCCUACCUUAUAUGUAGCUCCGCCCCUGCUCCCGAGCACCUACGACCUGUCCACCACCGUGUUAAACUGUUUUCUGAUCUUCUAGAACUGACACUUUUACCUAAAUGGAGGGGCUGGGGCCAGUGCAUAGUUCGUUACUGCCUACCCACCCACCUAAAUUCCUUCGCAAAUGUUGAAUUCAAAUUCAAGAAAAUUAACCUUCAUAAUUGUGCGUUAUGUGACAAUUGAAAUAUUUACAUUGAAAUUGUUUAUGGAUCACAUUAUCUAGGUCAGAAGCCCAUGGUAGAUACUCUCUUUUUUUUUUUUUUUUUAAUUUCGAUAUGUAAAUGAGUUUCCAGUUGGAGGAUUUGACAUGUCAUGUUGCAAUUGUUCUAGUUCAGAAUUCUGCUUUCAUUUAUUCAUAUGUCUUCUCUAACUAAAUGCAUUUGAUUCUGGACGAGGGUAAAAGGUCAUAUUUGAGCUGCAGCAGUUAAGUGGAAUUGCAUCUGCAUAUGGUUUGCUUAUCUAAUUAAUGUUGCAAAUUUCAGGUGGCGAUACUAAGUGAAUUGCAGGGUUCCGAGAGAGCAUCCAACAAAUUGCUGAUGUUGUACUAUCCGUUUCUAGGAUUUGCUGUUUUACCAAUUUUACGUGGUCUACUGCCUCAUUCUGGCAAGACAAUUAGCAUUGGAAACCGAUCCGCUAUAGGAAGGAAGAAGAGGGCUUAAUCAUUCAACUCACAAAAGCUAGAAUUGAAGAGUUUGUAUUUCUUUUGGGCAGUGAUACCUAGAAACCAUAUCAAUUUUGUUCUUGGUUUGUUUUUGU